GCUCCCGUCGUCUAGUCCGGUCAAGGAUGCAGGCCUUUCGAGCCUGAGACCCGGGUUCAAAUCCCGGCGGGAGCA
rnacentral:tRNA from 1 species